rnacentral:rRNA from 1 species
CCCUUAGAUGUCCUGGGCCGCACGCGCGUUACACUGAUGCAUUCAACGAGCUUAUAACCUUGGCCGAGAGGCCUGGGCAAUCUUGUUAACGUGCAUCGUGAUAGGGAUAGAUUAUUGAAAUUAUUAAUCUUGAACGAGGAAUUCCUAGUAAACGCAGAUCAUCAAUCUGCAUUGAUUACGUCCCUGCCCUUUGUACACACCGCCCGUCGCACCUACCGAUUGGCUGGUCCGGUGAAGCCUCGGGAUUGUGGUUCUUGCCGCUUUAUUGUGGCGUGACCGCGAGAACUUGUCUAAACCUUAUCAUCUAGAGGAAGGUGAAGUCGUAACA